rnacentral:rRNA from 1 species
AUUGAACGCUGGCGGCAUGCUUUACACAUGCAAGUCGAACGGUAACAGGCCGCAAGGUGCUGACGAGUGGCGAACGGGUGAGUAAUGCAUCGGAACGUGCCCAGUCGUGGGGGAUAACGCAGCGAAAGCUGCGCUAAUACCGCAUACGAUCUAUGGAUGAAAGCGGGGGACCGUAAGGCCUCGCGCGAUUGGAGCGGCCGAUGUCAGAUUAGGUAGUUGGUGGGGUAAAGGCUCACCAAGCCAACGAUCUGUAGCCGGUCUGAGAGGACGACCAGCCACACUGGGACUGAGACACGGCCCAGACUCCUACGGGAGGCAGCAGUGGGGAAUUUUGGACAAUGGGCGCAAGCCUGAUCCAGCAAUGCCGCGUGCAGGAAGAAGGCCUUCGGGUUGUAAACUGCUUUUGUACGGAACGAAAAGGCUCUGGAUAAUACCUGGGGCUCAUGACGGUACCGUAAGAAUAAGCACCGGCUAACUACGUGCCAGCCGCCGCCGUAA